GACGGAGGAUGCAAGUGUUAUCCGGAAUCACUGGGCGUAAAGCGUCUGUAGGUGGUUUAAAAAGUCCACUGUUAAAAAUUGAAGCUUAACUUCAAAGAUGCCGUGGAAACUUUUAAACUUGAGUAUGGUAGGGGUAGAGGGAAUUUCCAGUGGAGCGGUGAAAUGCGUAGAUAUUGGAAAGACCACCAAUGGCGAAGGCACUCUACUGGGCUAUUACUGACACUCAGAGACGAAAGCUAGGGGAGCAAAUGGG
rnacentral:rRNA from 1 species